AGUGAACGCUGGCGGUAGGCCUAACACAUGCAAGUCGAGCGGCAGCACAGUAAGAGCUUGCUCUUACGGGUGGCGAGUGGCGGACGGGUGAGGAAUACAUCGGAAUCUACUUUUUCGUGGGGGAUAACGUAGGGAAACUUACGCUAAUACCGCAUACGACCUACGGGUGAAAUCAGGGGAUCUUCGGACCUUGCGCGAUUGAAUGAGCCGAUGUCGGAUUAGCUAGUUGGCGGGGUAAAGGCCCACCAAGGCGACGAUCCGUAGCUGGUCUGAGAGGAUGAUCAGCCACACUGGAACUGAGACACGGUCCAGACUCCUACGGGAGGCAGCAGUGGGGAAUAUUGGACAAUGGGCGCAAGCCUGAUCCAGCCAUACCGCGUGGGUGAAGAAGGCCUUCGGGUUGUAAAGCCCUUUUGUUGGGAAAGAAAAGCAGCAGGUUAAUACCCCGCUGUUCUGACGGUACCCAAAGAAUAAGCACCGGCUAACUUCGUG
rnacentral:rRNA from 1 species